CAAAAGCAGUGAAACUCUCAAACAUAAGGGAAGAGAAUGUUUAUGUCGUUGAGUCAGAUGGUUGAAGAGAUGGCCAAUAUGCACCAAUCUUUCAAUGAAGAAAGAAUGAAGAUGCAGCAGGUUGAACGUGAUUAUUAUAGCGGGAAGAGGUGAAAAAUCUGACAGGUGAAGUGGAGGUUAAGAAGAGGAAACUUGAAUGCUGGAGC
rnacentral:misc_RNA from 1 species